rnacentral:rRNA from 1 species
AGCGUACACGGUGGAUGCCCUGGCAGUCAGAGGCGAUGAAGGACGUGCUAAUCUGCGAAAAGCGUCGGUAAGGUGAUAUGAACCGUUAUAGCCGGCGAUGUCCGAAUGGGGAAACCCAGUGCAAUUCGUUGCACUAUCGUUAACUGAAUACAUAGGUUAACGAGGCGAACCGGGGGAACUGAAACAUCUAAGUACCCCGAGGAAAAGAAAUCAACCGAGAUUCCCCCAGUAGCGGCGAGCGAACGGGGAGCAGCCCAGAGUCUGAAUCAGCUUGUGUGUUAGUGGAACGGUCUGGAAAGUCCGACGGUACAGGGUGAUAGUCCCGUACACCAAAAUGCACAGGUUGUGAACUCGAAGAGUAGGGCGGGACACGUGGUAUCCUGUCUGAAUAUGGGGGGACCAUCCUCCAAGGCUAAAUACUCCUGACUGACCGAUAGUGAACCAGUACCGUGAGGGAAAGGCGAAAAGAACCCCGGCGAGGGGAGUGAAAAAGAACCUGAAACCGUGUACGUACAAGCAGUGGGAGCACCUUCGGGUGUGACUGCGUACCUUUUGUAUAAUGGGUCAGCGACUUAUAUUCUGUAGCAAGGUUAACCGUAUAGGGGAGCCGCAGGGAAACCGAGUCUUAACUGGGCGUUAAGUUGCAGGGUAUAGACCCGAAACCCGGUGAUCUAGCCAUGGGCAGGUUGAAGGUUGGGUAACACUAACUGGAGGACCGAACCGACUAAUGUUGAAAAAUUAGCGGAUGACUUGUGGCUGGGGGUGAAAGGCCAAUCAAACCGGGAGAUAGCUGGUUCUCCCCGAAAGCUAUUUAGGUAGCGCCUCGUGAAUUCAUCUUCGGGGGUAGAGCACUGUUUCGGCUAGGGGGUCAUCCCGACUUACCAACCCGAUGCAAACUACGAAUACCGAAGAAUGUUAUCACGGGAGACACACGGCGGGUGCUAACGUCCGUCGUGAAGAGGGAAACAACCCAGACCGCCAGCUAAGGUCCCAAAGUCAUGGUUAAGUGGGAAACGAUGUGGGAAGGCACAGACAGCCAGGAUGUUGGCUUAGAAGCAGCCAUCAUUUAAAGAAAGCGUAAUAGCUCACUGGUCGAGUCGGCCUGCGCGGAAGAUGUAACGGGGCUAAACCAUGCACCGAAGCUGCGGCAGCGACACUAUGUGUUGUUGGGUAGGGGAGCGUUCUGUAAGCCUGCGAAGGUGACCUGUGAGGGUUGCUGGAGGUAUCAGAAGUGCGAAUGCUGACAUAAGUAACGAUAAAGCGGGUGAAAAGCCCGCUCGCCGGAAGACCAAGGGUUCCUGUCCAACGUUAAUCGGGGCAGGGUGAGUCGACCCCUAAGGCGAGGCCGAAAGGCGUAGUCGAUGGGAAACAGGUUAAUAUUCCUGUACUUGGUGUUACUGCGAAGGGGGGACGGAGAAGGCUAUGUUAGCCGGGCGACGGUUGUCCCGGUUUAAGCAUGUAGGCUGGUUGUCCAGGCAAAUCCGGAUAAUCAAGGCUGAGGUGUGAUGACGAGGCACUACGGUGCUGAAGUAACAAAUGCCCUGCUUCCAGGAAAAGCCUCUAAGCAUCAGGUAACAUUAAAUCGUACCCCAAACCGACACAGGUGGUCAGGUAGAGAAUACCAAGGCGCUUGAGAGAACUCGGGUGAAGGAACUAGGCAAAAUGGUGCCGUAACUUCGGGAGAAGGCACGCUGGUGUGUAGGUGAAGCCCCUGCGGGUGGAGCUGAGACCAGUCGAAGAUACCAGCUGGCUGCAACUGUUUAUUAAAAACACAGCACUGUGCAAACACGAAAGUGGACGUAUACGGUGUGACGCCUGCCCGGUGCCGGAAGGUUAAUUGAUGGGGUUAGCGGUAACGCGAAGCUCUUGAUCGAAGCCCCGGUAAACGGCGGCCGUAACUAUAACGGUCCUAAGGUAGCGAAAUUCCUUGUCGGGUAAGUUCCGACCUGCACGAAUGGCGUAAUGAUGGCCAGGCUGUCUCCACCCGAGACUCAGUGAAAUUGAACUCGCUGUGAAGAUGCAGUGUACCCGCGGCAAGACGGAAAGACCCCGUGAACCUUUACUAUAGCUUGACACUGAACAUUGAGCCUUGAUGUGUAGGAUAGGUGGGAGGCUUUGAAGCGUGGACGCCAGUCUGCGUGGAGCCAACCUUGAAAUACCACCCUUUAAUGUUUGAUGUUCUAACGUUGGCCCCUUACCGGGGUUGCGGACAGUGUCUGGUGGGUAGUUUGACUGGGGCGGUCUCCUCCCAAAGCGUAACGGAGGAGCACGAAGGUUAGCUAAUCCUGGUCGGACAUCAGGAGGUUAGUGCAAUGGCAUAAGCUAGCUUGACUGCGAGCGUGACGGCGCGAGCAGGUGCGAAAGCAGGUCAUAGUGAUCCGGUGGUUCUGAAUGGAAGGGCCAUCGCUCAACGGAUAAAAGGUACUCCGGGGAUAACAGGCUGAUACCGCCCAAGAGUUCAUAUCGACGGCGGUGUUUGGCACCUCGAUGUCGGCUCAUCACAUCCUGGGGCUGAAGUAGGUCCCAAGGGUAUGGCUGUUCGCCAUUUAAAGUGGUACGCGAGCUGGGUUUAGAACGUCGUGAGACAGUUCGGUCCCUAUCUGCCGUGGGCGCUGGAGAAUUGAGGGGGGCUGCUCCUAGUACGAGAGGACCGGAGUGGACGCAUCACUGGUGUUCGGGUUGUCAUGCCAAUGGCACUGCCCGGUAGCUAAAUGCGGAAGAGAUAAGUGCUGAAAGCAUCUAAGCACGAAACUUGCCCCGAGAUGAGUUCU